rnacentral:rRNA from 1 species
GGAAUAUUGGUCAAUGGGCGUGAGCCUGAACCAGCCAAGUAGCGUGCAGGAAGACGGCCCUACGGGUUGUAAACUGCUUUUAUGCGGGGAUAAAGUGUGGGACGCGUCCCUCAUUGCAGGUACCGCAUGAAUAAGGACCGGCUAAUUCCGUGCCAGCAGCCGCGGUAAUACGGAAGGUCCGGGCGUUAUCCGGAUUUAUUGGGUUUAAAGGGAGCGCAGGCCGAAGGUUAAGCGUGACGUGAAAUGUAGCCGCUCAACGGCUGAACUGCGUCGCGAACUGGCAGUCUUGAGUGAGUACGACGUCAGCGGAAUUCGUGGUGUAGCGGUGAAAUGCUUAGAUAUCACGAAGAACUCCGAUUGCGAAGGCAGCCAACAAGGCCUUUACUGACGCUAAAGCUCGAAGGUGCGGGUAUCGAACA